rnacentral:lncRNA from 1 species
UUUUUUUUUUUUUUUGUCAGUCACGAUACAUUUGUAUAACUUACUCUAUUCUAAUUUAGGGGGAGGGGAAGCCUAAAGAGGCUGUGGUAGGAGCUAGUGGGUAUACAGAUCCAACUAGAUCAAGGGAGUGCUAUGGCACAACCCUUAAAUUUUUUUCGCUGCAGACGAAAUUUGAACCAUCACCUAUAAUUCAAGGAGGGAUUUAAGUGCCUCCUUGCUCUUUGGUGGCUCAGUGGUUCUUUCGAGUCAUCUUCCUGGCGUCUAAAACUCGAACCUUUUUUUUUUUUUUUGUUAGCCAAAUACUAUAUAAGGAAAAGAAAAGUACACCUGGAGCUGCUUUUAAAAGCGCCCUUGGCUCCCACUAUGGUACAAAAAAAAGGUUCUCUUCCCGUACCAGCCACAGCAAACAAAUGAAAUGAUACACUUUACUAGUUUGUUUAGUUUAUCUACAUAAAAAGUUAAAACAACAAAAUGAAAUCGAGGAGGAAGGACAUGAACAGAAAAAGCUUUCAGCACAAAAGCUUGGGGCGGGCAUCUUAGAAUUUCUUCAAAUGCACUCCAACGUUUCUGAUUGAUUGGAGGAGCUAUGAAAGUCAUAACAAAUAUAUUAAUGUUGGCGAGCUGUCAAGUGUGUUUUUUUUUGAAAAAAUUACUAUGUUUUCUGUAAACACAUUUUCAAUCAUCAAUCAUCUUUUGGUUGUGUUUGAAUUGCAUUUUCUGUCAUUUUUCAUGGAAAAAUUACUGUAGCAAUUUGAUAUGUGUGAGGGAAAAAGGUGAUAGGAAAAUGUGAUCACGGAAAACGAUAAUAUUUUUCGACGGAAACGAGCAAUCCAAACAAGGCCUUUUUAUCUCACGAAUAUCAACCCGUUACCGUAAUUUUUUUUUUUUUUAAAAAAAAUGCAAUCCAAACAAGAAGUUACUGAAUUUCAGCCUUUUUACUAGCCUAAUCGCAUAUUUAGCUGGCAUUAUCAGCUAUCCCUCCCAGACACAAAAGAGAAAGUAGAUUAUAGCCUUUUAAGCUGCUGAAAUGUAAUCAAGCUUUGCUUACUAAUUGGCGAUUUAUCAAGUUCAGCUCACAUGAGCUUUGAUUAAUCGCACUUAAGAGCUUGAGUUUUAGCCUUUGAUAAAACUUUUUUGGUUUUACAAGAAACUUUACAACGCUCGCUUAAACUUAAAAAGGAAUUCGUAAAUGAAAUAUUUCAGAAAUCUUUUUAUUGUGUUAAUUAAAAGCUAUUAAUCUAAAAAUUGAGAAAAAACUUUACAAUCUAAAAAUAGUCACUCGUCACCACAAUUUCAAACAUAUUCCAUCACCCUGAAGAUAGUUGGCUUUGUAAAUGGGAAAUGUUAUAAUUUGCACUUCACUUUUUUUUUAUUUUUUAUAAUAACACUUUUAUUAUCUUUUUUUUUUAAAUUGUAUUGUAUAAUAAAUGAAGACCAUGUAAUAUAAAUGAUAUUGCAAGUGUCAUAAAAAAUUACAUUUUGCUUCUUAGUUUUGUAUGAGGGAAAAUAGAGCUGUAAAAAAAAAAAAGAUUUGCCACCCGGGGAAAGACGGGGAGAGGGCCGGGGGGGUGGACAGGGGACUUUUAUUUUAUUUUAUUUUUUAAAUUCAUGUGCCCAUGAGACAAUAGACAAUCCAAAACAAGGCCCGUUAGAUGCACCUUUUAUUUUGGAGAAGGCCCGUUGGAUAGCAACAGACACAGCUGGGCCUGAGUCUUCUUGGGCUUUUCCUCGAAUUCUCACGAAAUCCAAAUUCCCCCAGACUUUCUCCGAAGCUCGACUCCGCAGUCACAGAAGCCGGGAAGCUAGAGCCGAUGGCAAGGAAGGAUCGGCCGGCGAAGAAACAAACAGCUGCAUCUAGGAAGCCGAACGGAGGAGAUAAACCGUUGAGAGGAGCCGAGAGGUCGGCUUACUUCGCCAGGAGGGAGGCGGCUAAGGUCUUGCGCACCGUGCUUGAAGGGGACGCCCGCCGGCGAGCUGUGGGGUCCAUUAAGUCACUGGUUUAUAGCCCUUCCAUCAGGAACAAAAGAGCCACCUUUGCUUUGGUUUGUGAAACCCUCAAGCGUAAGUCAGCAACCAGCACUGCUUUUCAUUAUGCCCUCCCAGUUUUCAUUUUUCUAAUCCUACUGAUGAAAUUUGAAUAUGGGAUUUGUCUUCGUCCUAUUAAAUUUCUGCAGCAGAAAUGGGUAUUUAUGGGAUUAGUCUAAUUAUGCUGAAAGCUUGAAUUUUUUUCCCUGUAGAUUUUAGAAAGACAUUAGCUUGAUCUUAUCUUCUUUAAGUGAUAAAUGAGUUGGCAUACAUGUUUUUGACUAUAGUUAGUCUAACAAUGAUUCCUUGUGGUUUAAGAUUUGUAUAGACAUUUUCACGUGCUACUGCCUCUCGUAUGAUAAGUAACAAGUGCGUAUUAUCUACCCGCAUAAAUGGAUGCACUUAUUACUUUUCAUGUAAUGGGUUGGUUAUAUCAUAUGUUAGUGCUAGUGUAGCUAAAAUCACUUCUUGUUUAAAAGUGAGACUAAAUGGUUUCGGAUAUUGCCUAGGAGAAAAGUUCAAAAGCAAAAAAGAAAAGUUGGAUUUUAGUUAUUGGACAAUUGGAUGAAACUUUUAUCAGAAAUACACUGUUUAUAGAUCUGGAAUUUUUAUCUUCACUGUUUUCAGGUGCAUGAUAAAAUAGCGAUCAACCUAUAUUUUCACUUGAAGUGGCCACAAUACUAUUAACCUGAGAGGGCAAAUGUUGUAGACUGAGCCCUUCACUAUCCUGAGAAUUUAGAAUCUGAGUAAUACGCUGUAGCUGGAUUUAUAGUGUUGACAUAUAGCAUUAGUGUCCUUCAUCUUGGUUAAGUUUAAUGACUGCUUAAUUUGUAGAUUUUCAUUAAGUAGAUAUAUUGGAUUGUGUAUUGGUUUGCGGUCAACUUCUCUAAGGGAUCAAGGCUUAAGUUUGUAAGAGGCAACACGCAUCUGAUGGAUGUGGCAAUUGAAUCCAUUUUGUGAACUAGAUCUCAUAGGAUGGUAAACUCUGUUUUCGAAUGUUGGGAACUAGGGAAAAAGGUUCCUUACAGAUAUAAAUCCAUUACUUUUGAAAGGAAACUUUAUUGUGCCUAAUUGUGUGAGAUAAAUUUAUUUCUGACUGGAUUUGUUCUUGAAUAGAUCUCCCAGUUAUCAAAGAUGUUUUGCGAGCCACUAAUGUAUUGAAUAGCAAGUGGAAGGUAUGUGAAGCUUUUCUACUGGUCAUACUUAAUAUUUAUAAUAAUAGGGUUGCAGUUCAUUAAGCGUCCUCUCCCAUCUGGCACCGUUUCUAAAAAUAGUUUGUAGCACAAUGACAAAUGUAACUGAAACUAAAAAUUGGUUUUGCAGAGACAAGAAGAGUUACUAUGUGUAAUUGCAUAUGAUAUCCUCUUUGGUAAGGUAGGUAUUGAGUAAGAUUAUUCUUUUUCUUGUUUCCAAUGGAGAAUAGGCAUGUCUGCUGUUGCCCUUUUUCCACGUCCAUGCAUUUUUCACAUCUACAUGGAAUCUCUCUGCUUCCUACAUUCUGCUCCUAAAUUACAUUUUUCUGCUUCCCUAAUUUGUAGAUCAUUUUUCUCUCCAUAGGAGUCUUCAGCAACUGGGGAUGCAGAAAAGCUUCUCUUGUCCAGGAAAGAUAAAUUACGGUCAGCUUUGGUUCAUCUUUUAGAGAAAAAGAGAGUGAAGCACAUAAAAGAAUUGAUGCCUCAAUGCAAAAUAUCUGGUGUGUAUUUUGACUGCGUUUCUUCCUGUGCUAACUCUCUGUUUUAUUGAGAUGCAUGCUACUUUCCACGUGUUUUAGGUGAAACAACAGAUGUAAAAGUCAGUUAUUAACAAGCAAUGAAUAUGCUUCUACUGCAAAAUUAUUUUUGUUGAUUUAUACUUAUAAAGAAAGGAAAAAAGGGGUUUAUGGCUGAUCUUUUCUGCAAACAAUUACCAUCUAAAUAUGAACAUCUUACUUGUGGUUAAAUGACGUUGUUUUAUUAUGUCAAAAUUAGAAAUGACGGAUACAUUUUCUUGAGCUAUGCUAUGACAUUAAUUUCUUCUUGUUUGACGCCUGUCUGAAUUUUUUUGGAAAUGUUGGCUGCAGAUAUGCCAAAACCACGUUAUGUUCGUGUAAAUACUCUGAAAAUGGAUGUGGAGUCUGCUAUACUUGAGUUGACUAAACAGUAUGCGGUAAAAUCUUCAACUUAACCGAGUUAAUGAUUUUUCCAUGUUACUUUUCUUUUUUAGCUUCUGAUCUGGGGUUUGGUGCAAGUUUAUAGGUGUCAUAUUGAGCGUGAUAUUUGCAUUACAACUUGGGUUCAAUAGCAUGCAUGCUAAUGCUAGAAAUGAAUUUAUAUUUGAACUUCACGUCUCUGGUAUUGAAAUAAAAAUGUGGAAAGAUCCAAAAACGUAUCGCGGAAGUAUCGUAUCAGAAUUUUAGAGAAAGAAUCAUUUUCUUUACGGUCCUUACAAAAUAUAUUUUCUGCUAGUCUUUUGAUCUAUUGACUAAAAUGUAUAGGUUGACAAGGAUGACAUGGUACCUGGUUUGCUAAAGCUACCACCAAGUACUGAUUUGCAUAAACAUCCAUUGGUAUUAAAUGGAAGUAUUUUUAUGCAGGUAAGGCUUAGCUUCAUCGGUCUUACCUCAUUAAAUAUAAAAAUUUUCUAGGAGACAUAUAUCUUAACUGCUCUUUCACUGAGUCAAGCUGGUAUUCUCCUUUUCUAUGGAUACUAGGGCAGAGCAAGUUCCAUGGUUGCAGCAGCACUCGAGCCUAAACCAGGAUGGUGGGUGAGUUUACUCAGCACUGAAGAGUUAAUUCCUUCAGAUGUAUGCAUGUGCAAUUGCUUUGAUUUUUUUCGAAGCCUUGAUUCUCAUUUCUCUUUUUUGCAUUAUGAAUUUUGCUUGAUAAUGGUGAAGGUUCUUGAUGCAUGCUCUGCACCUGGAAACAAAACUGUUCAUCUAGCUGCUAUUAUGAAGGGAAAGGGGAAAAUAAUAGCUUGUGAACUUGAUAAGCAGAGAGUAAAACGAUUAGAAGCUACCGUCAGACUUGCUGGUGCUACCAGUAUCCUUUAAAUGGUUUUUCAUAUUCUCCAUCUGGCCUGGCAUUUAGCAAAUGGAAAGCCAGCUUGGCAGUUGUGCUUGUUUUUGUGUUGUAUUCUCCUUAAAUUGCUUCUCUCCAAAACUUCACAUUUUAAAAUGGAAUUGGAACUGAUGUUCAUUGCGAGUGACUCAUUUUUUUCAUUACUUAAUAUUCACAUUUACAAAACUUAACUUGGCCCAGAUGUCAAAGUUAAACAUGAAGACUUCUUGAAAUUGAAUCCUGAAGAGCCUCAUUGCUCAAAGGUAAUUGUUAUUCUUUUCUUUGUACUUUUGCACAAAUAUACGUACCUGAUACUGAAGGAAUGGACAUUCUUAUUGAAUUAACUGGACAUCUAGUCUUCUAUUUGUUGUAUGAUAUGCCGAAAUUCAAUUCUGUUUUCUCCACCAGAUAUUUGUAGUUUGUAUGUUUUUGUUUCUUAUCUCUACAUCUGCUGUAUUGCUUCAAAAUGGGUUUGUCGUUUGAUUGUUGACUGUAUUGCAGAUUCGAGCCAUACUUUUAGAUCCAUCAUGUUCAGGAUCUGGUACUGCCAUUGACAGGCUAGAUCAUCUGCUUCCAUCAUAUGCUGCAGGUAAGCAAGCGGCUGAGCUCAUACUCAGCUACUGGCUAUUUUCUUUCUGCAUUCCUCUCUUUCUUGUGUAUUAAGCUAUAUUUGAAAGGAAAAACAAUUAAACCCCCAUUGCGUGCUUCUCCCCCGUUGGCAUUUUGUUUCCCAGGAUCUUGAGUUUAUUAUCAAAUUUCAAGGAAUAUAGGAUUGUCCGUAACUAUUAUUUUAUUCUUGUUGCCUCAAAUUUAUGCUACCCUUUACCCAGAGUAUUUUGGUUGUUAGUCCAAAGGAUGCGGGUAUGUUUGGUUAGCAGAUAAUAUCUGUGUCUCUUAGCUCUAGUUUACAUGUCAGUUUUCUUUAGAUCUUUGUGCUUAUUCUGCGCAGAGAAUUACUCUGGCUUUUCUACAAGUGCAUUCAUGCUAUAUUAUACCUCACGCUUACCUCUUCCUUUACAAGUAUUAGAUGAUACUGGCAACAGUGAUAGGCUGAUGAAGCUUGCUGCUUUUCAGAAGAAGGCUUUGGAACAUGCAUUUUCAUGUAAGUUCUUGUUCAGCUACAUCCUGCACUCCAAUUCACCUUGCAUACUCGUACUCUUCAAGGUCGGCUAUUCCCAUCAAAACUUCCAAGAGAGUCCUAAAAAUUUUGGGCCAACAUUCUUGGCAGAUGCUAUUAAGUGCAUUUUGCAAUGCAUCUACAAUUGGCAUUCAGCCACUUUUAGUUAUGUAUUCCAUGCCAUUCUGCUGGAUGAUGAUGGCAUCGUUUUACAUUUUUCCAGUUCCAGCAGCCGAGAGAAUUGUUUACAGCACAUGUUCCAUCCACCAGAUUGAAAAUGAAGACGUUGUCAAAUCUGUUUUACCCCUUGCAGCAUCUCAUGGUUUUCAACUUGCACCAGUUCAUCCCCAGUGGCCUCGGCGUGGCCUCCCAGUUCUUGAUGGAUGUAAGUGCUUGAAGUCCAAUUUUUCUCCAUAAGAUACACACUGGUUGAGCUUUGUGGGUGGCAACUUUUCUGAUAAAUGAAUGGAAACCUUGAAGUUGAGCAUAUGAUUGUCAUAUUAAUAUAAACUAUCACCUGCUAAUUCCUAUCUUCUAAUCGGUUCAUCUGGCAGCUCAACAUUUGCUGCGGACCGACUUGGUGGAAGACGGAGAGGGGUUCUUCAUUGCACUGUUUGUACGAAAAGCAGAUAAAAGACCUGAAGGAUAUGCAGAAAGGGAAACUUGCGAAAGAUACAGGAGCAAGAGAUUUUUGAGGAAGAAGAUGGACUUUGUAAAUUAUUUCUUUAACAACAGGUUCAGAAUGUUGUUAUAUCCUCAAUUUCGCUUCAAGAAACAGAGAUAAUGCAUUAGACUUGUGACAUGCUACACUCAUUGUAUACAUCUCUCUUUGCCUUUCUCUUCUAAUUAUUAUUUUUUCAUUGUCUUCAAUCCUCCUUCAGCUGUAAAUAGACUGCUCCAAGAAUUGCAUCUUUCCUUGGCCUUUUUUUUUUUUUUUGGGGAGAAUUUCAAAACGCCACAAGACUUUCCAUUAUUAUCAUUAUUAUUGUUUUAAAAUUUGCAUAAUUUUAAUUUCGGUCACCACCGUGGACGCAAGGCUUUCUUCCUUUGAUUCCUUUCCAUGAUAUGCUGCAGUAGAUUGAAGAAUGUAUUUGUUUUUUGAGGCAAAAUUUGAAGAAUAUAUUUAUCUAGCCCAAAAUAAUAAUACUGAAAGUAAUCAAUAACAUCCAAAGAUCAAAUUCAUUGCGGCCCCCAAAAUAUUUGGAAACUCAAAAACUCUUCUCAUUCAUACUUUCAUAGUAGAGCAGUAGAUAAGUAAAAUCAUACUUCCAUACAUCAUGGUACUACACAGAAAAGAAGGCCAUCGCCUUCUGCACAGAGCCAAACUCAGGAAAAUUCCCAGAAAAUCAUUAGAGCAUCAGCAUAAAUCCAUAAAACUCCUCCUACCCGCAUUUAUUUUCCGAUCCCAUCAUCAAGACCCAAAACAGAGCAUAUAUGCUAGUACUAAAGAAAAGCAAUACAACCAACCAAAAUGCACACAAAUUUUUUCAAGCAAUCUGGACCUGAAUUGUCUUGGCCUUCUUGGGUUCAGGAGGGGGCAAUUUCUGAACGGUAACAGUCAGCACACCAUCUUGACACACCGCAGAAAUUGCGUCGGUAUUGGCAUUCUCCGGCAGCGCAAACUUCCUCAUGAACUUGCCGACCCUCCUCUCCAUCCUCACGUACUUGGCCCCUUCUUUCUCCUCUUCCCUCUUCCUCUCUCCGCUGAUAAUCAGCACAUUGUCUUCCUCCACCUGAACCUUGAUGUCCCCCGACUUCAACCCCGGCAUAUCCACAAUGAACGCGUAGGAAUUGGGAUAUUCCUUGACGUCAGCCGGAGUGGAAGCCAUUGCCUUAGCAUCUCGAACGAAGGUCCUCGACGGAGCGUUGACGGUCUUGUCUGCAUCGUCCGCGGCGUCCAUCAUGUGCUGGAUGGUUUGGAAGAGUGGGGUAUCCCAUCCCAUUAGCCUCACGUCCAUUUUUCUCUUCUUGAUUUGGGAUAUUUUCGAUGAGAUAUUUGCCUCUUUUCACUUUUUCUAUGAUCUGAAAAUUGCUGUAAUCUCGAUGAGAAGGGAAUGGAGAGGAAGUGAGUAUAUAUCGAGGUGGGAGAAGAACUUCAGUUUGGAAGUUUUGUGGAGGGGGGAGGGAAAAGAAGGAAGGCGCGGAAAGUUUCUGGUAAGUUCUUUUAUUCGCUGGUUCUUUCUACUAGUUUCUGAGUUCGACUUCUACACUGAUCCAGAACGCGGCGGAAACCACUAGAAGAAAAACUCUGGUUGACUUUUCUCUUUUGUACCCUUUCUCUUUGAAUUUUUCUCCUCUUGUUGUCUUAUUUGGAAUCCAUUUGGGCCGCAUUUUGUUAAAAUACUGUCAAAUUUCUCUAAUUAUUUAAAUUAUUUAAGAGGUAUUUAAAUUUAUAAAGUAUUAAUUUAUUUUAAUUUUAUACAUAUAUUUAGAUAAUUGGUGAAUUAUAUGCCCAAAUGUCUCUUAAAUAAUUCAAGCAAUUGGAACAAUUUGGGUGGAUUUCAAAUGUUUCAUUAGAUUCUUCAAUCCAAACGAAACAGUACGAGGACAUAAUAUUGGAGGAAAAAUUUGUGAAUAUUAUGCGCUAGAAAUUUGUACAACAUGUACUGUUACAAGGAUAAACCAAAAAAAGAAAGAAAAAUUGUACAUAUUGCAAAAGUUUGUACAAAUAUAGGAGACGAAUUUUCACUAUUUUGGCGACCAAAAUUCUUCAAUAUUUUUCAGUCAUCUAAUGACUAUAUGUUGAAGAUAUUGCUGAAGAAAUUUUAAAAUUUUCUUUUUUAAUUUUUGGUUUUUUAAUUGUGGAUCAAAUGAAGGAAUUCUGACUACUUCUGGUUCAAAGGUUCUAACAUUCUACACAAAAUAAAUACCAAAAUUUAAGAGUGACUUCACCGCUUAAUCCACUUUUUUUUUUUUUGCUUUCAGUUCUAUAUUAAACUUUGAGACAAAUUUAACAUAAAAUUUUUAACAAUCAAUAAUCAUAAACUAAAUAGAGAAUAAAUUGGCAAUGCAAUUCAUAAUUUCAUAUUUCAAAAAUAUAAAUGCAAAAUCUUUAGAACUUGACUCUGCUCUUUGGCCUAUCUAAAUUGUACGUUAAUAAAUACCUACUUGAAACUUCCUAGGACUUGAUAAUCAAGAAACGACUAAACAACAAACCCCCACAUACAAUGCCUAAUCGAUAAAUUAUGAAUCUACUAAUUAAAUCUUAAUGAUAAACUUCUAAAACUUCAUUUUUUAAGCGAAGUAAUUUUACUAAUAACCUACUUUGUAUAGGAAACAAAUUCUCUUUUCCUUCUUAGUUUGGGAAUCGAAUUUCCAGAGGUAAACACUAUAUAUAUGUACAUGCAGGUUAAUGUUCAUGAUUUCUUGCGUGUAUGCUGUCUUGACAAUGGACUCCCUAACAACUCCUCUAACAAAUUUGGGAGAAUACAAUCAAUUUGUGCAGCACUACUUUUGCCAUUCUUUCGCUACAAUCCAGAAACAUAAACUCGACGAGGGAAACAAAAUUCCGAUGCCUGCUUCGGCUUUAGAUUGCCUUUCUGCUCUCAGGAUUCAUUACCCCAUGAUGUUUUCUAUACAAAAUAUUUAUGACGAUUCUGGUGGCCGCACUUCUCAUUGUGGAGUCUUGGAGUUCACAGCCGAAGAGGGCUCAAUCUUCGCUCCACAGUGGAUGAUGGACAGCUUGAAGAUCCUCGAAGGAGACCUCGUACUCCUCAAGAGCGUCUAUCUUCCUAAGGGUACUUUCGUGAAGUUGCAGCCGCAUACAACUGAUUUCAUCAAUCUUUCCAAUCCUAAAGCUGUUUUGGAGAAAACCCUCCAAAGAUAUGCUUGUUUGACAACCGGAGACACGAUCACAAUCUCUCACGAUAAGAAGAAGUUUCAGAUUGACGUACUUGAGGCCGAACCAAGCCCUGCAAUUAGUAUCAUUGACACGGAUUGUGAGGUAGAUUUUGCGGCUCCUUUGGAUUACAAGGAACCUGAGAAGAAAGCCUCGCAGAAGGCUGAAGAGGAGAAGCCUAAGUUUGUAGCGUUUUCAGGCUUAGCAAGGCGAGUAGAUGGGGCGCCGCUGGCACAUAUGUCCGAUAUGGUAGCAGAAAAACUGGAGAAGAAUGUGAUCAGUAAAAAGAAUUCAACGAAAACCUGUGACUGUGAAGGACCAGGAAAGAAGAUGGUGUUUGGUUCGAACACGAUCAAUGAGGAAACCCCAAACAAAUAUGACGUCAAGAAGGAAGAAGUGAAUAAAUUUGAACCGUUCACGGGAAGGAAAAAUGUUACAGGUUCAGGAUAAAUAAUUUUAUUUUUUUGGUUUGUUCCACUUUGUGGUUUUCUAUAUUGUGGCCUUUGCGACUAAGACUUACUCUUGUAAAUCAAUCGUUGCCAUGCUUGAACGAAUAACAUCUUUGUGCACCACUGAUUUCAAGCCUCCGGGGUUUAAUUUCCUUGAGCAAUUACCUUAGAAAGUAAUUAAAAUCGUACGUAAUUUUGGAUGAUUGAGCCGUAACCUUUUCAUGAAUACUGGGCAGUCCAGAUUCAAGAAAGGCUAGUAUAAGUGUAUAACGCCUCCAGAGUCCAGAUACAGUUGCAAUUCCAAGUUGCGCAAUAUGCUAAGCAGCUAGGCCUAUUAAUUUUCCUCCAAGAGGAGCAAAAUUUGGAAGUGGUAUUGUAAUUAUACCAUGCAUGCUUUCAAUUACCUUCCUCCAUCUUUUCUUCUUUUUAAAUUAACGUAUGCAGACCACGGAAGAAACCGCCAUCGCUGCAGCCGCUGUUCUGGCUGAUUAUUUGACAAGAUUGGCAUUGGAAAUGGUAAUGGUAAUGAUUGGCAUUGGUUUGAUCUGCAACAAGGCUAAUGUUGGGUCUAUGAGGAUGACAAGGCUCUGCCCUAAACAGGCCGAGGAGUGGCAUGGUCAUAUUCUCGAACCACCUUCUAUAAUACAGCAAAGCCAGUUUUGCAACCAAGAAUGUUCGGAAGAUAUGGCUGGUUUCAGUCUGACUUGUGAUUAAUGGCGGAUGUCAAUUUGUUUAAGCAUCUUCAAAUUCACCAUCUUAGUGGACGUGGAAUGAACUGGCCACCAGGUCAAAUACUAGUUCAUGCGAAAUAUAUGCCUUUGAAUUCAUGGUGUAGUGCCUAAAAUGUGGCACAAACGAAGACAGUUGAUGGGAAUGACAUAUUUUCACGUCCCUGGAUAUGAUAUCAAACAAUCUGUUCUUUAUAUUCAUCUUCAUGAAAUUAGAAAUUACAAAAUGCAAUCCAUUCACUCAUAACUGUUGAUGUUAAUUUGUCACAAUACGCAUAGAUUUCUCAUAGAUUUAUUAUCAGCGAUGGCCUUCAAAAAAUUUGUAUAUAUUUCUGGAUCACUAAAUGCGCAGAUAUCGCUACUUAUCGACUUCUUUGAUGUUUGGUGCAGUGAUAUUGCUCUCCCCACCAGUCCCCUUAACAAAAUUGCAGGGGAGUCAGGUGGAUGAUAAAAAAACAUUGGGGGUAGUCAGUUUCUUGGCUACUAACAAAAACCACAAACUAGAAUAGAAUUAGUGGUUUGACAAAAACACAGAUUUUCUCUGAAACAGCAAAUUAAGAUCAAUUGUCCAGAAGAAUUAUAGUCCCAAUUGUCAAGGACUUCUCAUUCGAGAGGACAACAGCAGCAGCACAGGUUAUUGAAAACAACAGAAUACUUUAUUGCACCACUGAAAAUUUAGCCCAUAAAAACAAGGAACGUUAACAAGAGGCCUAAACAUGAUGAUCCAUAUGAAGUCAUAUACUAGUAGUACAGCACAAUUCCAAAUCUGAUCUUAGAAGCCAGACAUAAUUAUAAAUCUUUCAACAGUAAAGCUGGGCCUUCCAACUUCAAGCAAUCUUGACCUCAACAACCUUGGGCUUCUUAGGCUCAGGAGGGGGCAAUUUGUGGACGGUGACAGUCAAUACCCCAUCUUGGCAAACAGCAGAAAUUGCAUCGGUAUUGGCGUUCUCCGGCAGCACGAAUUUCCUCAUG